CAGAAGACAUGAGAUAACUUUAAAGAAUACAAAGAUUGCAAGUAUCCAGGCUCAGGAGAGGGGGUCAGUGGGAAGCCCACUGCUGCUACUUGGCCCUGGUUUGCCCUCAUGGAUGAGGUGAUAGGACAGAUGCCUUCCAUUACGCCUCCUGUCCUAAUCUCCUCUCUCCCUGAGGACACUCCAGGGCCAAGCGCAGCAGUGGGUGACCAAAACGACA